CUUGCUAAAUGUGGGAGUAACCUACUUUCAAAACCCUGAGUGAUGCUCUCAGCUAUCUCUAACUAUAUUCCAGCAGCGGGCAUUCUGGGAAACUCCACUCCAAUCCCAGGCAUCUUUGCUGUGGGCUUGGAAAGGAGAAUGGAGGGGAUGUAAUGAUCAUCUGGCUCCCUGCUCAGAACACGUCAGUACAGUGUUCUCAUUCACUUCUCUUCUCCCCAGAAUCUAGUUUUUAACGGCCCUACUAUUUCAUUCCUUAGCAUCCUAUGAGGCUCCUAAGGGUGUCCUGGACAAGUCGGGGGGAAAGCGACUACAAUGAGCUAUUAAUCAAUGAAGCAGCUGGCAUGGCCCCUGCCCUGACUGUUCCCUGAAAGGCCAGGCCGGUCUAGGGAACACCACCAGAAGGUUUGGAGUUGGCGGAAAGGAUGGUGGGAGGCACGUGGUAGCAGGUAAGGAAACUGAGGCAUAACGAAGUUAAGUGACAUAGAAGAGAAAGCUAAAAAUUCCCCAUAAGAUCAUGCUGAGAAUAACUACGUAUAACCAACAUGGACUCCUUAUUUCUGACUUAAUGGAAGGCUACUUGCCUCAUGCAUGCAUUUAUUCUUUCAAAAACCAUUUCGCCACAACUGCCCUAGGGCUAGUCAUGCACUGACGGACUUUUUCUGAUAACUGCUUUAGUCAUCAAAUGCAGAAGGAACUUCAGGCCAGGGGAAGGAGAAGGAGGCUGAAAUCCACUGCCAUCCUGUAUCCUUAUUCCCAAAUCUAGCCAUACCAGAGACAGAAAUCCAAACAAAAACUCAAGGUCUUGCCAAGAGCCAGCUUUGGACGUGAGGGUAUUAAAAAAUAACAACCAAAAAGCAGCCGCUCCUUCUGCUUGGGAGCAGUUAUUUCAAUGACUGACAUAUGUCCUGGAGGAACAAGUGUCAUCUUACUAAUGGGCUCUCAUUAGUGAUGGCAGCAACUAUAAAACACAUACACACCAUGCACGUUUAAUGACAUGGGAAAGUGCUCAUGAUGUAUUAGAGGAGAAAAGAAAACCACAAAACAGAAUGUGUGUGUGUGUGUGUGUGUGUGGAGGGGGGGUUGAUGGCAAACAUUGUUCCAAAGAAAAAAGCACCCAUAUGCAUUGAAAAAGCACUGGAAAUUUUUUGAGAAACAAACAACUUAGUAAUCUUGCCUAAAGAGAGGUUAUAGGGGAUAUUCCUUUUUUUUCUUUUAGUUCUCCAGAUUUCCACAAAGGACAUGUAUUAUGGAUAUGCUCAGAAAAAAGUCCAUAAUAUUAUUAUUUUUUUAAGCUGUACAAAGUGAUUAGUGGUUGAGAGGCAGCAGAUUAUAUUCAGGUAAAAUUCAAAGUUUCUAAUUAUCUUUUAAAAAGGAAGGAAACAAAUAUUUAUUGGCUAGGCAUUUUCUCUUACAUUACCUUAUGCAAAAGGGCUUUGUAAGGUCAGUAUUCUAUUGCUGUGGGGCAGUAAAUAUGAUGCCAAGGUCCCUGGACUGUUAAGGGGUGGAAUGUCCAAUUCUGCCGACUCCCAGACUCAGACUCUUCUCCAGGCCAAUGGUGUUCCACCAGUUUAUUCUCUAACAUGAGCGUAAUACCGUACUUUCAUCUGUAGCUCUUUGAAGCAAUGAUGGAGAGUAAGAAGGGGAAGGGAGGCAGGGGGUAAAUCUCAGAAGCUGCUGAAGCUCCCAGAUAAUCCGAUCUGCUCUGACUCUCCCCCCUGGCCACCCAGGGGGCGGUAUUAUGGGGGUGGCGAGGGGGCGCUGAGUCAGCAGCAUGAUUUCCAGGGUAGUGAGAAGCCCAUGACGGCAGCAGAAUACGUCUCCAGAGACAUCCUUUGGCUUAACAUUCCUUGUGCCUUUAGCUAAAAUGCAAAUGACUCUGAGCACAAAAAUGCCUUAAGCCUUAUCACUUCAGAAUAUAAGUAAGUUUGUCAACUGCUCUCCCAAGUGGACGAAGGGGAUGGUUAUGAACACCCUGAGGAAGACAGAUACACAGAAGGCGAGGAGGGCAUUGAAAAGCCACUGGAGUCUCCUUGCCCUUCUCUGUGGCCCUGCCUGCCAAUGGCUGGCCUUGAUUAUAAUAUUUAGGUUUCUGUGUUUAUAUCCUGUCAAGGGAAAGCAGAAUAUCACAUUCUAUCAAGUCACUUGAAAAGAACCACUGAUUUACAACUCCAAGGCACUAACAGAGUGUUUGAUUUAAAGGAGUGUAUCUAUGUAACUGUAAUAAACACACCACACUCCAGAAAGUCUACAGAUAGCUUCUCUCUGAGUAAAUGGCAAAGAAGUCCGAGGGCUUGUUUAUAUUCCUUCCUUUCCCUAAGGGUUAUCAGGGCCUUUUUCAUCACCUUGAAGGGAAAACAAAUGAUCAAAAGAUGGAUGACCCCUCGUCCCUUCCAUAUCUCCUUCUUGGUAUGUCAGAAAGCUUUCCAGCAAGGCAGGGCCAGCUAAUUAUUUUCUUCUAAUCAAUCAGCUAUUUUAAUGA